rnacentral:rRNA from 1 species
GAUGAACGCUGGCGGCGUGCCUAACACAUGCAAGUCGAGCGGUAGAUACUGGAAUGAUAUUUCGAUUGAGUGAAAGUAUUGAGAGCGGCGGACGGGUGAGUAACGCGUAGGCAACCUGCCCCAUACAGAGGGAUAGCCUCGGGAAACCGGGAUUAAAACCUCAUAACGCCAAAUGUUCACAUGGACGUUUGGCCAAAGAUUUAUCGGUAUGGGAUGGGCCUGCGUCUGAUUAGCUAGUUGGUAAGGUAACGGCUUACCAAGGCAACGAUCAGUAGCCGACCUGAGAGGGUAAUCGGCCACAUUGGAACUGAGACACGGUCCAAACUCCUACGGGAGGCAGCAGUGGGGAAUAUUGCACAAUGGGCGAAAGCCUGAUGCAGCAACGCCGCGUGAGCGAUGAAGGCCUUUGGGUCGUAAAGCUCUGUCCUUGGGGAAGAAAAAAUAGACGGUACCCUUGGAGGAAGCCCCGGGCUAACUACGUGCCAGCCGCCGCGGUAACACCAGACAGCGUAC